rnacentral:rRNA from 1 species
UACAGAGGGUGCGAGCGUUAAUCGGAAUUACUGGGCGUAAAGCGUGCGUAGACGGCUAUCUAAGUCGGGUGUGAAAGCCCCGAGCUUAACUUGGGAAUUGCGCUUGUGACUGGCGUGCUGGAGUGUGGCAGAGGGAGGUGGAAUUCCACGUGUAGCAGUGAAAUGCGUAGAGAUGUGGAGGAACACCGAUGGCGAAGGCAGCCUCCUGGGCCAGCACUGACGCUCAUGCACGAAAGCGUGGGGAGCGAACAGG